CCCCCUUACGCAACCGCCGCCCGCGCACGACUCCACAUCCGCCCUCGAUGCCCUCCUCUCUGUGCAUGCUGCUCCCCUCGCUCCCGCACCGAAAUCAACCACGCACUCCCCUCGCUCCCGCAUCAGAAAGGAGAGGACUCCGGAACGGGCGACGGCGCGCAUCCGCCUCCUCCGCCCCGCCUCUCCCGCCCUGCCUCCUCCGCAUCCGCCUCUCCUCCGCACGUCUCACCUCUCAUCGCAGCCCCGCCUCCCUCUGUCGUUCCUGGCCAUUGGCCUUCUUCUUCGUCGCCGGCUACGCUUGUGAGGAGGGAGGAGGAGCCGCAGCUCGUGGAUCCAGGUGCAGCGGCGUCCGUCCCACCGUCCCGCACCUCUCGUGUGCUCAGGUGCCCUGCCCCCGGUAAAGCCUCUUUUGGCUGAUUUAGAAACGAGGUCAACUUUUGAAAUGACUCAACGAAACUAAUCAAUAUAACCAAAUCCUCAACCCUAAACACUGGACACCGAAUCGUGGCUGGCCAUGUCGAACGAUGGUAGUGCGCGGUCGACGGUGAGGAGCGGUGGCAUCAAGGCCUGCCAAGCCGCUGUGUGAGUCCGAGCUCAACCAUCAGCGGCUUCAUGCUUGCAUCGGCCUCCCCAAAGAUGUCGAUCCCCACUGCAAAGGGAUCGAGUUCUUGGUAGCCGCCUCCAACAACGUCGUGGAAUCACCAACAAUGCCAGCGCCCACCGAGGUAGCGCGUACAACUCUGGUCACCGAGGAGGCAGUCGUAAACAAGGACUAUUUGCAGAGCACAAAGACAGAACUUAUUUGUGUAGAUAUUUGGAUAGCAGACAGUUGUCUACCAAAUAUAAUCUGUGCAUCCAAAAAAUCAAAGUGGUAUGGUGAAUUUGGCAACAAAUUAUUUAUUUCUGAUUCAGUUUCUCUUGUAUAAAGGUGUCAAUUACUAAUGCUAUAGUUUACAUGUGCACUGAUCUAUUCUGUAAGUAGAUACUCCUAGGUCCGUAAUAUGUGAGCAUUGCAUUGCCUGCACUCCUAUUCUAGAUGUUCUGAAUUAAUGAAGCCUGGAACUAAUGCGGAAAAUUUCAGUGUUACUACUGUCUGCUUCAGUUCUAGGUUCUAGAUGUACAUCAUAAUAUUUUCGCUUAGUAAUGAGCCACUUCAAACUUGGAUCAACCAAAAAACAGUGAAAGGGGGCAAUACCUAAAUGUGUUUAUUUGAAGCUUUAGUUUCCUUAUUAGCCUCCAGCCCCAAAGAUGCCUCAUUGCUGAGUCAGGCAGCCUAUUCUUGACAGAAUUCCCUCCAUUUUAGUUUAAGGUUGCCCACGCUGCUCCGCUACUAUGCUCAGUAAUUUGAAGGACAAAAGAAUACCCAGGCAAAAAAAAAAAGACAAUGAUAUUGAGUGGUAACAGUAGGCAGCCAAGUUUUGAAAUGUUGACACCUAAAUCCAACCCAUCCUACAAGAGAGGCCCUUAAUUAGACACCAGCACAGGAAAAAAAGCUUAAAAAUAAAUACACUGCACAUUUAUGUCCUAAGAAUUUACCACUCAUUUAAGUUCCUUGCUGCAAAAAUUUAUAUGUUAUAGCUUGUUGUUAACUGGUCACAAGAAACUCUCCCCUUGACUGAUGCAGUUUGGAAGAGAUUCUUUGUUAUGUUAUAGGAAUGGGUGCCCAAGUGUCUUAUGUGUUUCAUUCCGAGUGGAAAUUGCAUACAAAGUUCAAGUCAGUUGUCCAAUCGGGUGAAAUAAGCUUGUUGUGAUUUCUUUGUUUGGAUCGAAGGAUCAAUGUUAAAGUUGCCAAAAAUCAUUCCAACAAUAUGUUAUCAACAGAUCCCUUUUUCAAAGUUGCAUUUACUAUUUUUGUGAAGGCAGUUUCUCAAUAAUUAAACUGUCGGCCGGCCAUGAUCUGCAGGCUCCAUUGUUGGUUGUAAGGAUAAGGAUUAUAUUGUUAUUUCUUUGAUAUUUCAAAUGUUCAGGGAGAUGCCCAACUAGCAAAGCGAGGAUGUUCCACGUUGAUAAUCCAUUUUGUAUAGGCAUGCGAACUUGCGUGGGCUUUGCCGUGGGAAAAAAGUCCUUGUACCUGUACCACUUUCCCCCGCUCAAGUAUGAUCAUUUCUUUCCGCACUUAUUAAAUCGAAUGUUUGUCC